AUACAACGACACACAUCCUCCUGCAUACUUCAAAGUGUCUCCAUGUUACUCGUAAGAUCUCAUACCAGAUGGAGCAGAUAGUCAUACAGCUCACCAGCAGACACUGAGGAGGAGCAGGCAAACACUGGUCUAGGCAGUGACUCUGGGCUGACUAGGGGAUUCCUGCAUGGAGGCCAAGCCCAUGCUCCUGGACAUCUGUGAAGAAUUCUUACGCCUGAGGCUGCCCCACCCCACCUAGCACAUCAGAGGCUGGGGGCUGAAAUGGGUGGUGCAUUGAAGUCAUGGAACAUAGGAAUGGAACUCACUGCAACACACAUUGAAUCUAAAUUAACUCGACACAGACCAGAGACGAAGACAGCGAAACCCGUCCCUAAAUCUCCCACAUUCCUGGACCUGAGUCCAUUCUAAAUUCCAAGCCAGAAACCUGGAAUUUCAGGCUGUUGGCUUCUUGGCUUUUCUGCCGAAGUGACAGUCGGUGACUGUGCCAAAGGGAUUCCCUUGUGAAGCGGAAGGAGGCACUGCACCUGCAAUUCAGAUGAGCUGCCAGCAGGUGGCAGCUGUUCCUGGGCCCAGGAGGACACAGGGCACCUUUCCAGGCAGAUGAUUGAUGGGAAUGUGAG